CGGGGAGUGGCGCAGAUGGUUAGCGCACCAGUCUGGGGGACUGGGGGUCGCAGGUUCGAGUCCUGUCUCCCCGACCA
rnacentral:tRNA from 1 species